UCCUUUCCCUCCUUCUUCUUCCUCGCGCGACAGCACCCUCCUCCCUCUCCUUUCGAUCUCCGACCACCACUCGACCAAAACGGAGUGGCGAUCGGUUCGUCCGACGCCAGUGGUCUCAAUCCCAGCCUCCCUUCACGUUGAACGGACCUGCAGCGGCGCGGAUGGAGCUUUCUCCCACGCGACUGUCUCCUCUUCCAUCUUUGGCGAUCCACACCAUUUCCGGCGGCCCCAGCGGAGGAAGCGGGUAUUAAUCGACUCUCUACCACGCUGUGAGUGAAUUUCCUCUAACAAUUUGUGGAUUUAUCGAUGUUUUGAGGAGCAACCUUGCGUGGAGGAGAUGCAGCGGCUGUCGAGCCCGAUCCGGCCAAUCAAGGACCGACCUCACUAAAUUAACGCCAAAAACGGACUCCUUGGUGAAUUUUGAGUUGAAUGAUGUGAUCGUUGCAAAUUUCUGGGAAAGGAUGAUUUUCUGGCCACCGUACACGGCGGUCGGCGGCAGCGGUCCGGUGACCGGUCGGCGACACUCCGGCGAGGCCCCGAGAGACAGAAUGCUCUUCUCUUCGCGCUGAUCGUGGAAUCGUCGCCCGAUUCUCGAUUGAUCUUCUACGAUGCGUCUCCAGAUCUUCUAGGAAAUCCUCAACAUAAAAGAUUGUACUCUUCUCCAAAACAGCAGCAUUCAUUAAAAAGUAUCCAAGGCAAUUUACCACUUCUACGUUCCUGCUAAAGUUGCAGAUCUGAAGGACUGGAGCGAUGAUUCUAUCUUCUUCAACUAUGCUGAUAAGGAUCAAAUCUCUAAUUUAAAAAUUGUUAUCUUUUAUGUUUUCAACUCUUUAUUCGUCUCAAGAUAAAUUUUCACAAGAGCCAACUAUUUGGCAGUCAACAUCAAUGAGGAUGAACUGAAUUGCUAAGCCUCUUAUCUUCAAAUGCCAAUUUGGAAAAUUUGCAUCUGAGUAUCUAAGUACUCCGAUCAGAUGUAACCCCAGAUUGAUCAAGACUUGGCAGCCAGUCAUUCAAAAAUGGAAAACAAGCUCUCCUCUUGGAUGGGAGGUAAGAUAACUCUUAUAAAAUCUAUGCGUUCUUCUCUACCUCUCUAUUAGCUAUUUCAGGGCAGCAGAGGUGGUCAUCAAGAGGAUUGAAAGCAUUCAGAGGCGAUUCCUUUGGGGCAAAAGCAUUGAAGGAGAAAAAUCAUUGUGUUAGAUUGCUUGGAAACAACUGGAUUGAACAAAAGUGAGGUUGUGUUGGACUCCAUGAUUGUAAAAUGAAAAACUCAGCCUUACUUAGAAAGUGGUGGUGGAGGUCUAAAAUAGAAAGUGGGUUCUUAUGAAAAAAAAGGUCUGAGUCCAAACAUAGCAAGGAGGUAUUGACUAAUGAUGUUUCAGAAAGUAAUUUAUGGAGAAAAUUAUCCCUAUCCUGGAAAGACAUCAUUCAUCUUGGGUCACAAUCUUCUUCUUCUAUCGAUUUUUUAUCAAACGACUUUAGAUGGAUUGUUGGUGAUGUGGAAACAUUAAAUUCUGGAUUGAUAUCUCAUCAUAAAUUCAUUUUUUUUAAA